rnacentral:rRNA from 1 species
CACGUAGGCACCAAGCGUUGUCCGGAUUUAUUGGGCGUAAAGAGCUCGUAGGCGAUUCGGUAAGUCGGGUGUGAAAACUUUGGGCUUAACCCAAAGCGUGCACUCGAUACUGCCAUGACUAGAGUUCGGUAGGGGAGUGGGGAAUUCCUAGUGUAGCGGUGAAAUGCGCAGAUAUUAGGAGGAACACCGGUGGCGAAGGCGCCACUCUGGGCCGAAACUGACGCUGAGGAGCGAAAGCGUGGGUAGCAAACAGG